rnacentral:tRNA from 1 species
UAGCAACGAAGUAAUUAAUACAUUUAGUUUCGGCCUAAUUUUAGAGGAAACUCCAUGCU